GUGUGUGCGUCCAUGCCUCCCAUCUCUCCUAGGUCAUGAUGAAUGCACUCCCAUCUCCACGGUCCAGGCAGCUGGGCAAAAGGGUAAACAAACACAACAAGCCACUGUUGUGGAUCUAUUCACUGGGCCCCAGUCUUCCAGUCAGGCCUCAGCCCCCUACCCAGGAUCUGACUCACAAACAUCAAAGUCCUACUCACUUAAAAAAAAAAAAAAAAAACAGAUGGAAGUGCGUAAACUCACGAUUUAGCUUUUUUUUUUUUUUUUUGGUUUAAGUCUCCUUAGCAAAGACAUGCAGCUCACUCUGUAGCAUCUGUGAGUCUAUGGUCUUGAUGGAGAAGGCGUGUGGCGUUUGACACACCAUGACCUCUGCUAAAUAAAUAAAUAAAAACAGCAUAUACACACACAUCCUGCAGAGUGUAUCCUUCACCCAGUCUGUCAUUAUUGAUUCCAUACCAGGUUAACUCGUUAUAUUGCCGUUGUAGAGCUGUUUCGUUCUCCCCGCUCUGAUGUAUGUGACUAUAGCCACUUUUACACAGAGAUCCCAGAAAAAAGGUCAGAUGCUGAUCCCACCUUUUUCCACCAUUGACUAAUUUCCACAGCCAAGCCAAAGGAGUAACAGAGGUGAGACAGGCUGGACUUUUACACUGCGGACCUGCGUUCUGGAAUCAAAGGGGUGGUGACACAGCGGAACGUAUAGUGUUACGUAUAACUUGCGCGUCAGAAAUUCCCCAAGCGUAGUGGUGUUGCUAACCUUUCCAGAACGGGUGUCAAAUUCA